CAAUAGCGUAUAUUAAAGUUGUUGCAGUUAAAAAGCUCGUAGUUGGAUUUCUGGCAGGAGCGACCGGUCACACACUCUGUGUGUGAACUUGUGUUGUCUCUGGCCAUCCUUGGGGAGAUCCUGUUUGGCAUUAAGUUGUCGGGCAGGGGACAUCCAUCGUUUACUGUGAAAAAAUUAGAGUGUUUAAAGCAGGCUUAUGCCGUUGAAUAUAUUAGCAUGGAAUAAUAAGAUAGGACUUCGGAACUAUUUUGUUGGUUUGCGUUACGAAGUAAUGAUUAAUAGGGACAGUUGGGGGUAUUCGUAUUUCGUUGUCAGAGGUGAAAUUCUUGGAUUUCCGAAAGACGAACUACUGCGAAAGCAUUUACCAAGGAUGUUUUCAUUGA
rnacentral:rRNA from 1 species